rnacentral:tRNA from 1 species
GCACCCUGUGGCACGUAGAGACACGAAAGCGCCGGACUUCUAAUCCGAUGGUCGCAGGUUCGAAUCCUGCCGGGUGCGCCA